GACGAACGCUGGCGGCGUGCUUAACACAUGCAAGUCGAACGGAAAGGCCCUGCUUGCAGGGUACUCGAGUGGCGAACGGGUGAGUAACACGUGGGUGAUCUGCCCUGCACGUCGGGAUAAGCCUGGGAAACGGGGUCUAAUACCGGAUAGGAGCCAUUGUUAGGGUGAUGGUUGGAAAGUUUUUUCGGUGUAGGAUGAGCUCGCGGCCUAUCAGCUGGGUGGUGGGGUAAUGGCCUACCAAGGCGGCGACGGGUAGCCGGCCUGAGAGGGUGGACGGCCACAUUGGGACUGAGAUACGGCCCAGACUCCUACGGGAGGCAGCAGUGGGGAAUAUUGCACAAUGGGCGGAAGCCUGAUGCAGCGACGCCGCGUGGGGGAUGACGGCCUUCGGGUUGUAAACCCCUUUCGCUAGGGACGAAGCUUUUGUGACGGUACCUAGAUAAGAAGCACCGGCUAACUACGUG
rnacentral:rRNA from 1 species